GGCUGCGUAGCAAAGUGGUUAUGCAGUGGCCUGCAAAGCCAUCAACAGCGGUUCGAUUCCGCUCGCAGCCUCCA
rnacentral:tRNA from 1 species